rnacentral:piRNA from 1 species
UACUCUGACUUAGGAGCCAAUGAUGUU